rnacentral:rRNA from 1 species
GCGGCAACAGCUCAAAUUUGAAAGCCCGCGGGCGUUGUAAUUUGCAGGCGGAUGUUUUGGGGCGGGCGCUGUCUACGUUCCUUGGAACAGGACGCCGCAGAGGGUGAGAGCCCCGUGCGAUGGCGCCUCCAACCGCGUAAAACUCCGCCGACGAGUCGAGUUGUUUGGGAAUGCAGCUCCAAGUGGGUGGUAAAUUCCAUCUAAAGCUAAAUACUGGCGAGAGACCGAUAGCGAACAAGUACAGUGAUGGAAAGAUGAAAAGCACUUUGAAAAGAGAGUGAAACAGCACGUGAAAUUGUUGAAAGGGAAGGGUAUGCGAUUAGCGGCCAGCAGGAGGUGCCUUCUCGUGAAAAGGCCGUGCACCGUCUUCGGACACCGUGCGCGGAGAUGGCGAGGGGGCGCCUGAGGUCUGCGACUCGAGGUUGCUGGCGUAAUGAUUGCAUACCACCCGUCUUG